rnacentral:rRNA from 1 species
GUAGGGUGCGAGCGUUAAUCGGAAUUACUGGGCGUAAAGCGUGCGCAGGCGGUUAUAUAAGACAGAUGUGAAAUCCCCGGGCUCAACCUGGGACCUGCAUUUGUGACUGUAUAGCUAGAGUACGGUAGAGGGGGAUGGAAUUCCGCGUGUAGCAGUGAAAUGCGUAGAUAUGCGGAGGAACACCGAUGGCGAAGGCAAUCCCCUGGACCUGUACUGACGCUCAUGCACGAAAGCGUGGGGAGCAAACAGGAUUAGAUACCCUGGUAGUCCACGCCCUAAACGAUGUCAACUGGUUGUUGGGUCUUCACUGACUCAGUAACGAAGCUAACGCGUGAAGUUGACCGCCUGGGGAGUACGGCCGCAAGGUUGAA